GAGGACUUGACUUGUCCAGGCUGUGUUAGAGAUAUAACCUUUCUCCCUCGAGGCCUUGUGACACAGGUGCUGCAUGGCUGUCUUCAGCUCGUUUCGUGAGAUGUUGGGUUAAGUCCCGCAACGGGCGCACCCUUCGCUUUUAGUUGCCAUCAAUUUUGGCUGGGCACUCUGAAGGAACUGCCGGUGACAAGCCGGAGGAAGGUGGGGAUGACGUCAAAUCCUCAUGGCCCUUAUGUCCUGGGCUACACACGUGCUACAAUGGCGGUGACGAUGGGAUGCAAAGUCGCAAGCUUGACUAAUCUCAUAAAAGCCGUCUCAGUUCAGAUUGCUCUCUGCAACUCGAGUGCAUGAAGGUGGAAUCGCYAGUAAUCGCRGAUCAGCAUGCYGCGGUGAAUACGUUCCC
rnacentral:rRNA from 1 species